rnacentral:rRNA from 1 species
CGGCAACAGCUCAAAUUUGAAAUCUGGCCUCUUUCGGGGUCCGAGUUGUAAUUUGUAGAGGAUGUUUUGGGUACCGCGCUGGUUUAAAUUUCUUGGAACAGAAUGUCAGAGAGGGUGAGAACCCCGU